rnacentral:rRNA from 1 species
UACGUAGGGGGCUAGCGUUAUCCGGAAUUACUGGGCGUAAAGGGUGCGUAGGUGGUUUCUUAAGUCAGAGGUGAAAGGCUACGGCUCAACCGUAGUAAGCCUUUUGAAAACUGGGAAACUUGAGUGCAGGAGAGGAGAGUGGAAUUCCUAGUGUAGCGGUGAAAUGCGUAGAUAUUAGGAGGAACACCAGUUGCGAAGGCGGCUCACUGGCCCGAUACUGACGCUGAGGCACGAAAGCGUGGGGAGCAAACAGG